rnacentral:snRNA from 1 species
AUACCUUUCUCGGCCUUUUGGCUAAGAUCAAGUGUAGUAUCUGUUCUUAUCAGUUUAAUAUUUUAUGAACAUUGCUACUAGCCUUGGAUUAUUUUGAUUAUUUUAUUGAAAAAAUUUAU